CAGCCGCGGUAAUACGGAGGAUGCAAGCGUUAUCCGGAUUCAUUGGGUUUAAAGGGUGCGCAGGCGGAAUAUUAAGUCAGUGGUGAAAUCCUGCAGCUUAACUGUAGAACUGCCAUUGAUACUGAUAUUCUUGAAUAUAGUUGAGGUGGGCGGAAUGUGUAAUGUAGCGGUGAAAUGCUUAGAUAUUACACAGAACACCAAUUGCGAAGGCAGCUCACUAAACUAAUAUUGACGCUGAGGCACGAAAGCGUGGGUAGCAAACAGGAUUAGAUACCCUGGUAGUCCACGCUGUAAACUAUGAUCACUCGCUGUUGGCAAUACAUCGUCAGCGGCUGAGCGAAAGCAUUAAGUGAUCCACCUGGGGAGUACGGUCGCAAGAUUGAAACUCAAAGGAAUUGACGGGGGCCCGCACAAGCGGAGGAACAUGUGGUUUAAUUCGAUGAUACGCGAGGAACCUUACCUGGGCUUAAAUGCAGAGCGACGUCCGCCGAAAGGUGGAUUCCUUCGGGCGAUCUGCAAGGUGCUGCAUGGUUGUCGUCAGCUCGUGCCGUGAGGUGUCGGGUUAAGUCCCAUAACGAGCGCAACCCUUAUCGUUAGUUGCUAGCGGGUAAUGCCGGGGACUCUAACGAAACUGCCGGUGUAAACCGUGAGGAAGGUGGGGAUGACGUCAAAUCAGCACGGCCCUUAUGUCCAGGGCUACACACGUGUUACAAUGGUCGGUACAGAGGGCAGCUACCACGCGAGUGGAUGCUAAUCUCGAAAACCGGUCUCAGUUCGGAUUGAAGUCUGCAACUCGACUUCAUGAAGCUGGAUUCGCUA
rnacentral:rRNA from 1 species